CAAUUCGAAUGGCAAUAAUAUUUAUUUAUGUUUGAUUUUUUUUAAACUAUCGCUUCAUGAAUAGAUUCCUAAGCUCUUUAAGUAUAAUCUUACAAAGUGUAGAAUACUAUUAAAUGGUUAGAUUUUUAUCUGAAAUAAGAUCGUGAUCGAAUUAUUUUCGGCGUUAGUCCGAGUUUGACAUUCGUGGCGAUAGAAAUAUUAUUUUCAAAGUUUCUGAGUUUUGUGAGCGUGGAAUUGUAAUGAAAUUAGUUCAAGUGGAGAUGAGUUUGAUGUUUCGUUAUUAAAUAACGA